GAUCCUGGCUCAGGAUGAACGCUAGCUACAGGCUUAACACAUGCAAGUCGAGGGGCAGCAUGGUCUUAGCUUGCUAAGGCCGAUGGCGACCGGCGCACGGGUGAGUAACACGUAUCCAACCUGCCGUCUACUCUUGGACAGCCUUCUGAAAGGAAGAUUAUACAAGAAUGGUCGAUCAUGAGUUCGUCAUGUUUCUACCAUGAUUAAAAGGUUAAGUUUCCGGUUACGGACGAUGGGGUAGUG
rnacentral:rRNA from 1 species